rnacentral:rRNA from 1 species
UACGUAGGGGGCAAGCGUUGUCCGGAUUUACUGGGCGUAAAGGGCGCGUAGGCGGCAAUUCAAGUCAUCUGUGAAAUCUCCGGGGCUUAACUCGGAACGGUCAGAUGAUACUGCUUUGCUAGAGUGCGGGAAGGGGCAAUCGGAAUUCUCGGUGGUAGCGGUGAAAUGCGUAGAUAUCGAGAGGAACACCCGUAGCGAAGGCGGCACUCUGGGCCGGAACUGACGCUGAGGAGCGAAAGCGUGGGGAGCAAACAGG